rnacentral:rRNA from 1 species
UGGCGGACGGGUGAGUAACGCGUGGAAAACCUGCCGUAUACUGGGGGAUAACACUUAGAAAUAGGUGCUAAUACCGCAUAAGCGCACAGCUUCGCAUGAAGCGGUGUGAAAAACUCUGGUGUAUACGAUGGUUCCGCGUCUGAUUAGCUAGUUGGUGGGGUAAUGGCCUACCAAGGCAACGAUCAGUAGCCGGCCUGAGAGGGUGAACGGCCACAUUGGGACUGAGACACGGCCCAAACUCCUACGGGAGGCAGCAG